rnacentral:lncRNA from 14 species
CCUGCCCUGUGAAACACGGGCUCAGUUACUUCUGUGAAGAACUUGUCCUUGCUGAGAGCCAGGGUGAAGAUCACCCAGCACAGGCUGACAUCCUCACUCAUGCUGUGACGGCUGCAACAAUGAGGAGCCACAGGAAGAAUCAGGAACCAAAGGCAACUCAUUAUACAGCAUCCAAAAACUGAGACGUCUGAAGCACACAGAACUCACUGCUGUUUUACUGCACCUGAGGGUCCCU